UACGUAGGGUGCAGGCGUUAAUCGGAAUUACUGGGCGUAAAGCGUGCGCAGGCGGUUUGCUAAGACAGGUGUGAAAUCCCCGGGCUUAACCUGGGAACUGCGCUUGUAACUGGCAAGCUGGAGUGUGGCAGAGGGGGGUGGAAUUCCACAUGUAGCAGUGAAAUGCGUAGAGAUGUGGAGGAACACCGAUGGCGAAGGCAGCCCCCUGGGCUAACACUGACGCUCAUGCACGAAAGCGUGGGGAGCAAACAGG
rnacentral:rRNA from 1 species